AUUGAACGCUGGCGGCAUGCCUUACACAUGCAAGUCGAACGGUAACAGGUCUUCGGAUGCUGACGAGUGGCGAACGGGUGAGUAAUACAUCGGAACGUGCCUAGUAGUGGGGGAUAACCACUCGAAAGAGUGGCUAAUACCGCAUGAGAUCUACGGAUGAAAGCAGGGGAUCGCAAGACCUUGUGCUACUAGAGCGGCCGAUGGCAGAUUAGGUAGUUGGUGGGAUAAAAGCUUACCAAGCCGACGAUCUGUAGCUGGUCUGAGAGGACGAUCAGCCACACUGGGACUGGGACACGGCCCAGACUCCUACGGGAGGCAGCAGUGGGGAAUUUUGGACAAUGGGCGAAAGCCUGAUCCAGCAAUGCCGCGUGCAGGAUGAAGGCCUUCGGGUUGUAAACUGCUUUUGUACGGAACGAAAAGCCCUGGGUUAAUACCCUGGGGUCAUGACGGUACCGUAAGAAUAAGCACCGGCUAACUACGUGCCAGCCGCCGCAGUAA
rnacentral:rRNA from 1 species